rnacentral:lncRNA from 1 species
ACUUAUAUCCUAACCUAUACAGUCUAUUGAAUGGAGAAGCUGCUGGUGUGAUAACGCAAUUAUACUACUCAUAUUCAAAGAGUGAAAGGCAGUCAUCCUUCUUAAUUUAGCUUCUAGAUUUAUUAAAUUUAGCCACAAGUAGUAGGCAUUUGAUUGGAUGGUAGAAAUUUUUAUGUAUUGAAUUUGGAUUAUUUAGUUAUGAGAGUAGGAUAUCUCAUAUUUUUGUUAUUGAAGUUUUGGAAUUUGUAAUAUAUACUAAUAAUAUUUAAAUGUGAAAUGAAAGAUUUUGUGAUAUAAAUCAAUUUCUUUUUGUUAUUUUGUGGUGCCUUUUAAUUUUACCAAUAAAUCAAUAGGCAAUGAUCCAAUUCAAUUUUUUAUUUUUUUAAAAUAAAUUAACUAGUGAUACCACGGUAACAGUAAUCAUAGACACUAAUAAAAUAUCAAUAACUACUAACACUAUGGUGUCAUAAUAUCGGUGAU